rnacentral:rRNA from 1 species
AUUGAACGCUGGCGGCAGGCCUAACACAUGCAAGUCGAGCGAGUGGCGGACGGGUGAGUAAUGUAUGGGGAUCUGCCCGAUCGAGGGGGAUAACCACUGGAAACGGUGGCUAAUACCGCCUACUAUCGGAUUAACCUAUCUGGGAUUAGCUAGUAGGUGGGGUAAAGGCUCACCUAGGCGACGAUCUCUAGCUGGGCUGAGAGGAUGAACAGCCACACUGGGACUGAGACACGGCCCAGACUCCUACGGGAGGCAGCAGUGGGGAAUAUUGCACAAUGGGCGAAAGCCUGAUGCAGCCAUGCCGCGUGUAUGAAGAAGGCCUUAGGGUUGUAAAGUACUUUCAGCGGGGAGGCGUUACCCGCAGAAGAAGCACCGGCUAACUCCGUGCCAGCAGCCGCGGUAAUAC